AAAUUGAAGAGUUUGAUCAUGGCUCAGAUUGAACGCUGGCGGCAGGCCUAACACAUGCAAGUCGAGCGGUAGCACAGAGAGCUUGCUCUCGGGUGACGAGCGGCGGACGGGUGAGUAAUGUCUGGGAAACUGCCUGAUGGAGGGGGAUAACUACUGGAAACGGUAGCUAAUACCGCAUAAUGUCGCAAGACCAAAGUGGGGGACCUUCGGGCCUCAUGCCAUCAGAUGUGCCCAGAUGGGAUUAGCUAGUAGGUGGGGUAACGGCUCACCUAGGCGACGAUCCCUAGCUGGUCUGAGAGGAUGACCAGCCACACUGGAACUGAGACACGGUCCAGACUCCUACGGGAGGCAGCAGUGGGGAAUAUUGCACAAUGGGCGCAAGCCUGAUGCAGCCAUGCCGCGUGUGUGAAGAAGGCCUUCGGGUUGUAAAGCACUUUCAGCGGGGAGGAAGGCGUUAAGGUUAAUAACCUUGGCGAUUGACGUUACCCGCAGAAGAAGCACCGGCUAACUCCGUGCCAGCAGCCGCGGUAAUACGGAGGGUGCAAGCGUUAAUCGGAAUUACUGGGCGUAAAGCGCACGCAGGCGGUCUGUCAAGUCGGAUGUGAAAUCCCCGGGCUCAACCUGGGAACUGCAUUCGAAACUGGCAGGCUAGAGUCUUGUAGAGGGGGGUAGAAUUCCAGGUGUAGCGGUGAAAUGCGUAGAGAUCUGGAGGAAUACCGGUGGCGAAGGCGGCCCCCUGGACAAAGACUGACGCUCAGGUGCGAAAGCGUGGGGAGCAAACAGGAUUAGAUACCCUGGUAGUCCACGCCGUAAACGAUGUCGACUUGGAGGUUGUGCCCUUGAGGCGUGGCUUCCGGAGCUAACGCGUUAAGUCGACCGCCUGGGGAGUACGGCCGCAAGGUUAAAACUCAAAUGAAUUGACGGGGGCCCGCACAAGCGGUGGAGCAUGUGGUUUAAUUCGAUGCAACGCGAAGAACCUUACCUGGUCUUGACAUCCACAGAACUUUCCAGAGAUGGAUUGGUGCCUUCGGGAACUGUGAGACAGGUGCUGCAUGGCUGUCGUCAGCUCGUGUUGUGAAAUGUUGGGUUAAGUCCCGCAACGAGCGCAACCCUUAUCCUUUGUUGCCAGCGGUUCGGCCGGGAACUCAAAGGAGACUGCCAGUGAUAAACUGGAG
rnacentral:rRNA from 1 species